rnacentral:lncRNA from 1 species
GUGCAAGUAUUGUUUUAAUUAAAUGCACACUGAAGAUAGUCUAUAUGUCAAUUUGUAAUUUAAAAAAAAUAUUAAGCUUUGUUUCAUGUAUUUUCUAAGAUUACUUAAUCUUUAUUAACUUUAUGUCCCCUGCACACAACACUUUUUGCAGUAGCAUAGAAAUACCAGAUGUCUAUCUGUAUAGUCUUGAAAGCACUCUCACAUAUACAAUUCUUCCCAGAUUUUUUCGUUCUUAUAUCAAAGGUUUAUAUCUGAAAACUUUUGAAAAUUGCAAAACUUAAGGGGCAUUCGUGUACUGACUCACAUUCCCCUUUUAUGUUAAAAAAAGUUAUGCCCCUUGAAAAUAUGAAUUAUAUUGAAAUUGCCUUGGAAGUGCUGUUCAAGGCCACCUUUCUUCUAUAAAGAUAUUUUUUGUUAUUCAAAAUAUUGCCCAUGGACAAAUAAACUAUGCACAAUUCAAUGGAAUUUUGUUCCUUUGUUCACCUUUCAUUUAUAACAAUAAAUUUCCAGAUGCUUAUUAGUAUUAUUAUAAAACGUUUGAAAGUGUGAUACACACCAAUUUCUUACGGGCAAAAAAUGUAAAAAAAGAAAAUUCAUGAGUUAUUUUCAUCCAAAGGGAAAACGAUGGCAAAUAUGAAAUGUCAGUCAUGUUUGAUAAAAUAAUUUAACAGAUUAAAAAC